AUUAUCUUGCCGAACACCUAAGGCAUGUCACCAUUUUUGGAAGCUUCACAUUCGGCCAGGAUAGGAAGCCUGCAUGCAUGAAAAAGGAAAAGUAAGAUUAUCAGAAGCUUGAGCGGGUUGGAAGCUCGUCGGAUAUUCGAUGCCAAUUUGAAUGAAAGAAAACGAUAUGUUAAUGUAUGUAUGUAAAUGGUAUAAGGUUGAAAUGCUUGAAAUAAUGCAAAUGGUAUUAUAUGUUAA